UACGAAGGGGGCUAGCGUUGCUCGGAAUCACUGGGCGUAAAGCGCACGUAGGCGGAUUGCUAAGUCAGGGGUGAAAUCCUGGAGCUCAACUCCAGAACUGCCUUUGAUACUGGCGACCUUGAGUCCGGGAGAGGUGAGUGGAACUGCGAGUGUAGAGGUGAAAUUCGUAGAUAUUCGCAAGAACACCAGUGGCGAAGGCGGGUCUCUGGACAGUUCCUGACGCUGAGGCACGAAGGUCAGGGGAGCAAACGGG
rnacentral:rRNA from 1 species